AUUAUAUAUAAAAGCUUCCAUUAAAAAAAAGGAAUAAAAAAAUAUUUGCUUUCAUUGGACUUCUCUCUUUUUUGAAUUUGACCCAACUUCUCCUUUCUUUUUCUCUCUCUCACCGUUUGCCCUUUCCCUAUUUCUUCUACAAACCCUAUCUCAAUCUCAUUCUCAAUUUCGGAUCUUAUUCACGCCCUUUUUCUCCCUAUCUCGCUUGAUCUUUUUCAUUUUAUUCAGGUUUCCUUUUAGAAAGAAAUAAGGAAUGUCUUUUACACGGAAUUGUCGCAUGCAAGGAAGCGUUUUUCAGGAUGAUUACUGGUACCCUUUCAAUAGGAAUAACUACAAUAAUUACAGUUCUGAUAACUACAGGAGCGGCAACUGGAGUAGUGACCCUACCAGGAUAUUUAACCAUGCUCAAGAAUUCUUGGGGCAGUUUGGGGAGCAUAAUAGAGGUUAUCAUCAUGCACAACCAACUUGUACUCCUUCUUUGAAAAGGAGAAAGUUCUCUGCUGCUACUUGGGCAGAUAGUGGUAGAAACUAUCAGCCAUAUAGCCUGCAUUGCCCUACAGCUCCAUUGGAACCCAGCAAUUUCAUUCCUCCUAUGAGAUCAACUGCUGAAGCCUCUACAUCUGUCAGCAAUAAACGUGAUAGGUCACAAUUGGAGGAUGAUGAAUCUGUCUUUAUGACAAGGGAUGAUAUUGAGAGAUAUUCACCUUCAAGAAGAGAUGGUAUUGAUGCACUUCGCGAGACACAUUUGCGUUAUUCUUAUUGUGCCUUCAUUCAGAACCUCGGGUUGCAGCUUGAGUUGCCACAAACUACCAUUGGCACUGCCAUGGUACUGUGCCAUCGGUUUUUUGUUCGAAGAUCACAUGCUUGCCAUGAUAGAUUUUUGAUUGCUACUGCUGCUCUUUUCCUUGCUGCAAAGUCGGAGGAGACGCCUCGCCCUUUGAACAAUGUGUUGAGAACUUCUUGUGAAAUAUUCCAUAAACAGGAUAUUACAUUCUUAUCCUACCUGCUCCCUGUUGAUUGGUUUGAGCAGUAUCGUGAACGUGUGAUUGAGGCAGAGCAAAUGAUCCUGACUACCUUAAAUUUUGAACUUAAUGUGCAACAUCCAUAUGCUCCACUUACAUCCAUUCUAAACAAAAUAGGCCUUUCACAAACAGCCUUGGUGAACCUGGCAUUAAACUUGGUCAGUGAAGGGUACCUAUUUGGUUUAGUUAUUUCGUUGUGAUGUUUGAGUUAUUCCAGAGUAGUCUAAGAAUAAUGCUCAUUUAUUGGGAUUUGUUCUUGUGGCUAUGAUUGAGUAGCUGUUUUAUGCACUGGGAGUAGUGGGUGUUUCAAUUCCUUCAAUCAGCAGAUUUUAUGGGUUUUGACUUUAAAGGGAUUUUGGGUGGGGUGGGUGGCUGGGUGCAAUGCAGUCCUAUGAAUUGGUUGAAAAAAGUUGAGUUGGGGUGUGAAGGGUAUGCAGGUUAUCUUCUUCCAUAUUGCCCAGAACUGGGGUCAUUUCAGGGUUAGCGUGCACGCUUGUAUGAUAUUGUUAGCUGGCGGAUUGAUGUGCUGUUCAUGGAAACUUUUGUUUUAACAUCUGACGUUGAAUUAACAAUAAUUAUGGUUCUUUCCCAUGAUUUUACCCCAUCAACUUGGUCAUGGCUAUUAAAGCCACAUAACCUCAGAAUAUAGUCUUGUCAUUUUUGAAACCACUCACCUGGCUGGCUGCCUCCCUGUGUCCCAUCAGUAUUUGGAGAAAAAUUAUUGACUUGGAAGAGUCAAUAGUGGGUUCUUUCCUCGUUUUUUAAAUGCUAUCUGGUGAUGAUUUCCCUAGUUGUCAAGCAAGGGUUUGUUAUUAUUGUCCUGCAUUUCUCCCAUUCAAAAUGGAGAUUUUGGCAUGGAAUCAAAAACCGGACUGCUUUGGCAGGUACAUUUGAAGCGUGUGAAUGUUGACCAGUCAAAAACUGGAUUGACCGGUAUGAAAACGGAUUGAACCAGUUAAAAACGGUUUUUUAUUCAAUCCGUUUUCUAUGAACAUACAUAUAUUUUCAAAAUCUUAUUUGUAAUUAAUGGGCUUUGAACCUUUAAUCUCGUAAUUAUUCUAAAAAAGAACAAUACCUUUAAGCUGAAUGUUAUUCUAAAAAAGAAAACAAUAAUUAUUAACCAUGUUUAAUAUUUAUUUUAGAUUAGUUAUUUGAACAGUAAAACACAAGAGGAGUAAUCUUGCCUCCUAGUCCAACUGGUUGGACCGAAGACUGGAGAUUUGAUUGGUUUGACCUCCAGUUCUGUUUUUUAAAAAUUGGUUUUUUGGUUUAUCCAGAAAUCUUACCCUGUUUUAACUAUUUUGUUUAACACUUUAAGAUAAGAGGCUUCCAAUUUGAAUUUGCCAAUGGCAAUGUCAAUCUAAUGAAAGUUUUACAUUUUGAUUUAUAAGUACCAGCUGGACUGAGAAUCCUGUUGUGUUUGAGUUUCAUUCCUUUCAAACUUAAGAGUCUAUGUGCACAUGUUGGGGACUGAACUAACAUGCAUUAUCAACCAUUGGGGAUGGGUUAGAUGCAAAAAGCGAAUUGUUCGUAGCCUGCUUCAGGUAGCAUGGCAUAAAGGAAACAAAUUCCAAAAAUACAUUGAAAACACGUAUCAUCACCUUUUAUUGUCUUUGUUGAUAGAACAGUGAUUCUUGUCUAGGGUUUUGCCUUUCCUUCUGAUCUGGUUCUAAACCUUGAAUUGAGUACAACGUUGUUGAAUUCUUGGUGUUGCUAAGCAUAGAGUUUGUUCGGCCUCUGGAAAUAAUCUUGUUUUUGCAGUACAUAAUCAGACUUCAACCCUCUUCUUUUUCUAAUUUUAAAAUAUUUCAGUGUAUUUUCUCCUCAAAUAUCUGUCUCUCAGCUGAAAUGAUUGUAUUAGUUUUAGUUUAAAGAUGGUUAAUUGGUGCUUCUAACUGACUUUUGAUGUUUCAUUUAGGUUUUUUCAUCCAUCUUAUGUGUAUUUCAUAAUUAUAUAACUACUCUAAUACACAUGCAUAUAUUUAAGUUUAUAUUAUUUUUUAGAUUGAGAAGAA